rnacentral:rRNA from 1 species
CGAAGGGGGCUAGCGUUGUUCGGAAUUGCUGGGCGUAAAGCGCGCGCAGGCGGUUCUUCAAGUCAGAGGUGAAAGCCCAGAGCUCAACUCUGGAAUGGCCUUUGAGACUAGAGAACUAGGGUACGGGAGAGGUGAGUGGAAUUCCGAGUGUAGAGGUGAAAUUCGUAGAUAUUCGGAAGAACACCAGUGGCGAAGGCGGCUCACUGGCCCGUUACCGACGCUCAGGCGCGACAGCGUGGGGAGCAAACAGGAUUAGAUACCCUGGUAGUCCACGCCGUAAACGAUGGAUGCUAGCCGUUGGUAAGCAUGCUUAUCAGUGGCGCAGCUAACGCAUUAAGCGUCCCGCCUGGGGAGUACGGCCGCAAGGUUG